rnacentral:tRNA from 1 species
GUCUGGCUACGAACCAGAAGGUCGGGGGUUCGACUCCCUCAUGAUGCG